UACGUAGGCAGCAAGCGUUGUUCGGAGUUACUGGGCGUAAAGGGUGUGUAGGCGGUUGGCUAAGUGGGGUGUGAAAUCUCCCGGCUCAACUGGGAGGGUGCGCUACAAACUGUCUGACUAGAGUGUGGGAUGGGAAAGUGGAAUUCCUGGUGUAGCGGUGAAAUGCGUAGAUAUCAGGAGGAACACCGGUGGUGUAGACGGCUUUCUGGACCAUAACUGACGCUGAGACACGAAAGCGUGGGUAGCAAACAGG
rnacentral:rRNA from 1 species